rnacentral:rRNA from 1 species
AGCAGCCGCGGUAAUUCCAGCUCCAAUAGCGUAUAUUAAAGUUGUUGCAGUUAAAAAGCUCGUAGUUGAAUUUCGGGAUCAAUACGUCUGUCGUGCCUUUGGUACGUACGGGUGUAAUUGGUUUCUACCUUCUGAGGAUCCUUGAUGUCAUUAAUUUGGUGUCUUGGGGAAUCAGGACUGUUACCUUGAAAAAAUUAGAGUGUUUAAAGCAGGCAUACGCUUGAAUACAUUAGCAUGGAAUAAUGAAAUAGGACGUUCGAUUCUAUUUUGUUGGUUUCUAGGAUCGACGUAAUGAUUAAUAGGGAUAGUUGGGGGCAUUAGUAUUCAAUUGUCAGAGGUGAAAUUCUUGGAUUUAUUGAAGACUAACUACUGCGAAAGCGUUUGCCAGGAUGUUUUCAUUAAUCAAGAACGAAGUUAGGGAUCGAAGACGAUCAGAUACCGUCGUAGUCUUAACCAUAAACUAUGACCGACUAGGGAUCGGAUGAUGUUAAUUUUUANGACUCAUUCGGCGCCUUACGGG